AACGAACGCUGGCGGCAGGCUUAACACAUGCAAGUCGAGCGCCCCGCAAGGGGAGCGGCAGACGGGUGAGUAACGCGUGGGAACGUACCCUUUACUACGGAAUAGCUCCGGGAAACUGGAAUUAAUACCGUAUGUGCCCUUCGGGGGAAAGAUUUAUCGGUAAAGGAUCGGCCCGCGUUGGAUUAGCUAGUUGGUGGGGUAAAGGCCUACCAAGGCGACGAUCCAUAGCUGGUCUGAGAGGAUGAUCAGCCACAUUGGGACUGAGACACGGCCCAAACUCCUACGGGAGGCAGCAGUGGGGAAUAUUGGACAAUGGGCGCAAGCCUGAUCCAGCCAUGCCGCGUGAGUGAUGAAGGCCUUAGGGUUGUAAAGCUCUUUCACCGAUGAAGAUAAUGACGGUACCUGGAGAAAAAGCCCCGGCUAACUUCGUGCCAGCAGCCGCAGUAAUAC
rnacentral:rRNA from 1 species